UGUUACUUGUAAGAGUAUGGGCCUAAGC
rnacentral:piRNA from 1 species